rnacentral:rRNA from 1 species
CCUAACACAUGCAAGUCGAACGGUAACAGGAAGAAGCUUGCUUCUUUGCUGACGAGUGGCGGACGGGUGAGUAAUGUCUGGGAAACUGCCUGAUGGAGGGGGAUAACUACUGGAAACGGUAGCUAAUACCGCAUAACGUCGCAAAACCAAAGAGGGGGACCUUCGGGCCUCUUGCCAUCGGAUGUGCCCAGAUGGGAUUAGCUAGUAGGUGGGGUAACGGCUCACCUAGGCGACGAUCCCUAGCUGGUCUGAGAGGAUGACCAGCCACACUGGAACUGAGACACGGUCCAGACUCCUACGGGAGGCAGCAGUGGGGAAUAUUGCACAAU